rnacentral:rRNA from 2 species
AGAUUAAGUUAUUAAGGGCGCACGGUGGAUGCCUUGGCACUAGAAGCCGAUGAAGGACGUUACUAACGACGAUAUGCUUUGGGUAGCUGUAAGUAAGCGUUGAUCCAGAGAUUUCCGAAUGGGGGAACCCAGCAUGAGUUAUGUCAUGUUAUCGACAUGUGAAUUCAUAGCAUGUCAGAAGGCAGACCCGGAGAACUGAAACAUCUUAGUACCCGGAGGAAGAGAAAGAAAAAUCGAUUCCCUGAGUAGCGGCGAGCGAAACGGGAAGAGCCCAAACCAACAAGCUUGCUUGUUGGGGUUGUAGGACACUCUAUACGGAGUUACAAAAGAACAUGUUAGACGAAUCAUCUGGAAAGAUGAAUCAAAGAAGGUAAUAAUCCUGUAGUCGAAAACAUAUUCUCUCUUGAGUGGAUCCUGAGUACGACGGAGCACGUGAAAUUCCGUCGGAAUCUGGGAGGACCAUCUCCUAAGGCUAAAUACUCUCUAGUGACCGAUAGUGAACCAGUACCGUGAGGGAAAGGUGAAAAGUACCCCGGAAGGGGAGUGAAAGAGAACUUGAAACCGUGUGCUUACAAGUAGUCAGAGCCCGUUAAUGGGUGAUGGCGUGCCUUUUGUAGAAUGAACCGGCGAGUUACGAUCUGAUGCAAGGUUAAGCAGCAAAUGUGGAGCCGCAGCGAAAGCGAGUCUGAAUAGGGCGUUGAGUAUUUGGUCGUAGACCCGAAACCAGGUGAUCUACCCUUGGUCAGGUUGAAGUUCAGGUAACACUGAAUGGAGGACCGAACCGACUUACGUUGAAAAGUGAGCGGAUGAACUGAGGGUAGCGGAGAAAUUCCAAUCGAACUUGGAGAUAGCUGGUUCUCUCCGAAAUAGCUUUAGGGCUAGCCUCAAGUGAUGAUUAUUGGAGGUAGAGCACUGUUUGGACGAGGGGCCCCUCUCGGGUUACCGAAUUCAGACAAACUCCGAAUGCCAAUUAAUUUAACUUGGGAGUCAGAACAUGGGUGAUAAGGUCCGUGUUCGAAAGGGAAACAGCCCAGACCACCAGCUAAGGUCCCAAAAUAUAUGUUAAGUGGAAAAGGAUGUGGCGUUGCCCAGACAACUAGGAUGUUGGCUUAGAAGCAGCCAUCAUUUAAAGAGUGCGUAAUAGCUCACUAGUCGAGUGACACUGCGCCGAAAAUGUACCGGGGCUAAACAUAUUACCGAAGCUGUGGAUUGUCCUUUGGACAAUGGUAGGAGAGCGUUCUAAGGGCGUCGAAGCAUGAUCGCAAGGACAUGUGGAGCGCUUAGAAGUGAGAAUGCCGGUGUGAGUAGCGAAAGACGGGUGAGAAUCCCGUCCACCGAUUGACUAAGGUUUCCAGAGGAAGGCUCGUCCGCUCUGGGUUAGUCGGGUCCUAAGCUGAGGCCGACAGGCGUAGGCGAUGGAUAACAGGUUGAUAUUCCUGUACCACCUAGUAUCGUUUUAAUCGAUGGGGGG